CUUGGUGGACUCCUAGGUGGGGACUGGUCACCAGAAGGACUAAGCCACAAUCAGAAGUUUGGACUUUUCAAAUCCUCCCUGCCCCCAUUCUCUGGGACGGGGAGAGGGGCUGGAGAUUGAGUUAAUAAUUGAACAUAUCUGAAUCAUGAGGCUUCCAUUAAAAAAAUCCCAAACCCUGGGGUCUGGAAAACCUCAAGGUUGACAGGCCCGUCCACCUGCUGGGAGAUGGUGAACCCCGACUCCAUGAGGACACACUCCUGUGCUUGGGCGCUGGCCUCUGUAUCUCUUUCUCCACUUGGCUAUUUAUUCGUAUCCUUUCCAUUUCUUUUAUUAAGAUCACAAACUGGCAAACAUCCGUGAAGUGUUUCCCAGAAUUCCAUGAGCCAUCCUGGCAAGUCACCCAAACCUGUGUGAGAGCAGCCACAGGAACCCCCAUUUAGAGCAGUGAACAAGGACAGACACACUGUAGAUAGCCCAGGGAGGAGGUGCUGGCAUCCGGAUUCGAUGCGGAGUUCUCGGCCAAGGUCAGCACUCAAGGUUACCACAGGCGGAUCAAGGAUGGACUGAGAUGGUCUCGCAUUGACAUUCCAUAUUUGGCGUUCCUG